rnacentral:snRNA from 1 species
UUACUUUACAAGAACAUAUGCUAAAAUUGAAUGAAACAGAGAUCAGCAUAGCCACUGAGCAGGGAUAACACACUAAUUUGUAAAAUGGUUUGUUUUUAA